AUCUUACUGGAAGCUCCUGUGUCCCUGAGGCCUUCUGAAGGUGGCCAUGUGAAGAUCAAGAAAAGACAUCUUGUCUUUUGUUUGCCUUCCAAUGCUUUGCUUUUUCAUUGUUCAUUUUUGAGAAUGUUUUGAUGGUGAACCUACGUCAUAACAUUGUUAUUGUAGGCCUUGAUGACUAACUUGUCUAGCACUAAAGAUGGAGCUAUACCAUCAAGGUCACUGGCUUUGCUCCAGGCUCUGUGCUUUCUCUCCUUGGCCCAGUGGGACAAUCUCUUCCCUUCACCUGCCCUUACUAGCACGACCCCAAGUCUCACGGGGACCAGCCAUCUCCUUCCUUCCUUUCCUGAUCCUAAAACUCAACACCACAUCAGGGCCCCUCCCUGUAGGCUGGGAGCAUGCCCUGCUGCAGCACACUACGACACCUGCCCAAAACACUGACACUGGGCUGCAUUAUUUGAGAUGGUGUCAGAAGGUUUAAAAAAAAAAAAACCAGCUGGAUGUGAGUAAAAUCUAUGAAGAAAAGGUGUGAGAAGAAACUUGCAUGCUUUUCCUUGAUCUCUGUGCUCCUGGACAUCUUUGUCUCAAGCUAUUUCUUCUUGCUUUGAUUACUGUCCAGAAAAUGCCUCUGUCAUGCUGUUUGUGCAGCCAGCUGAGCAGCAGUACCUGUCAGGUGAUGGGAUCCACUGGGAAAAUGCUUUCCUGUGUGCAAAAGGGAACAAACAGAAACAUGUGACAAGGCUUACUGGAAUGGAAACAAGCUGCAGAAGAUAACCCAGGUGAUGAAGCUAACCGGCCCACAAACCUAGAGCUACAAGAACGGAACCUGGGCAGGAUGACAGCUGCACUGUGAGAACAAGCUGCAAGCUGUUGUCCCCCUGCUGCCUUUGGGUGGCUUGAGAAGGUCCAGGCCAGGGGAGCUGAGGAUGUGAGGCUCUCAGGUUGUUGUCUCCUUGGUCAGUGCAGUGAGAGCAGUGUGAAAGAGAAGGCAGUGCUGUGCCUGGAAUGGUGUGUACCAAGGGUAUGUACCCAACAAUGGGUUCCCGAAGUGCUUUUCAAACCCACUGGUCAUGUUGCACUUGGUAAAUGUGUGUGGUAAGAUGUGCCUUCCCCAAAGCUUCAACAGGGAAAAAAGAGGAGAAUCAGGUAUUUCCUUCUUGUGAAACUGAUGAGGUGGAAAUCAAAUGUGGUUCUAUGCCAACCUGCGUGCAGAUGCCCUCACCUGGGAGUGCUUAUCAGAAGGAUGUUACUUGCUUUUCCUUGUCAUGUGCAACAUUUGGAUUAUGUUUUGCCUUUGAACUCAGUGAUAUCAUGUAUGAAAUGUCUCCCUGGUGCAGUCAGCUUUCCCUGAUGCAUCUGAGGAUUUCCUGCUGGCUGAGACUGCAUUUCCCUGUUUUGUUUGUUCUGUAUAUGCCUGUGCUUUUGCAGUGCAGGGUUAUUUCAGGCAGAACAAGGCAUCAUCUCCGGAGGAUGGCAUUUGUGGCUGUCAUUUGUGAAGACUGAUAUGAUUGUUCACUAGGGCUCAUAACGUGCUUUAAAGCCAGACAGGACAGCAUGUGAGUUAAUGUUGCUCUUGGAUAUUCUUGUCCCUUCCCCACGCUGGUCCCUGCCUUAUGCUCACAAAGUUGUACAAACUGUAUUCCCAUCUGUUCAGCUUUGUGGACAUGGAUCUGAUUGCUUUCCCGUGUUGGGUUACAGU
ensembl:lncRNA